rnacentral:snRNA from 1 species
AACCCUACUCAGCCUUUUGGCUAAGUUCAAGUGUAGUAUCUGUUCUUAUCAAUUACUUUUUGGGCUAGGUGCCUGCCAGAAAGAUCCCCUUUUGAGAUUUAUUUGUGUAUUACACAGCCACAACCAAAUCUCCACAUCUGCAUUAUGGAGAGGAUUGAGCUCCU